UACGGAGGGUGCAAGCGUUUGUUCGGAAUCACUGGGCGUAAAGGGCGUGUAGGCGGUCCGCUAAGUCUGAUGUGAAAGCCCGAGGCUUACCCUCGGAAGUGCAUUGGAGACUGGCGGACUGGAGUCCCGGAGAGGAGGGUGGAAUUCCUGGUGUAGCGGUGAAAUGCGUAGAUAUCAGGAGGAACACCGGUGGCGAAGGCGGCCCUCUGGACGGUGACUGACGCUGAGACGCGAAAGCGUGGGGAGCAAACAGG
rnacentral:rRNA from 1 species